CCUACGGGAGGCUGCAGUGGGGAAUAUUGGACAAUGGGGGGGAACCCUGAUCCAGCCAUGCCGCGUGUGUGAAGAAGGCCCUCGGGUUGUAAAGCACUUUCAGUGAGGAAGAACGCCUGGUGGUUAAUACCCAUCAGGAAAGACAUCACUCACAGAAGAAGCACCGGCUAACUCCGUGCCAGCAGCCGCGGUAAUACGGAGGGUGCGAGCGUUAAUCGGAAUUACUGGGCGUAAAGCGCGCGUAGGUGGCUUGAUAAGCCGGUUGUGAAAGCCCCGGGCUCAACCUGGGAACGGCAUCCGGAACUGUCAAGCUAGAGUGCAGGAGAGGAAGGUAGAAUUCCCGGUGUAGCGGUGAAAUGCGUAGAGAUCGGGAGGAAUACCAGUGGCGAAGGCGGCCUUCUGGACUGACACUGACACUGAGGUGCGAAAGCGUGGGUAGCAAACAGGAUUAGAUACCCCUGUAGUC
rnacentral:rRNA from 1 species